UACGUAGGGGGCAAGCGUUGUCCGGAAUUAUUGGGCGUAAAGAGCGCGUAGGCGGUCCGAUAAGUCGGCUGUGAAAGUCAGGGGCUCAACCCUUGAAAGCCGGCCGAUACUGUCGGACUAGAGUCCGGAAGAGGCGAGUGGAAUUCUCGGUGUAGCAGUGAAAUGCGUAGAUAUCGAGAGGAACACCAGUGGCGAAGGCGAGUCCCUGGACAACACCUGACACUGAGGCACGAAAGCUAGGGGAGCAAACAGG
rnacentral:rRNA from 1 species